rnacentral:rRNA from 1 species
CCUACGUGAGGCAGCAGUAGGGAAUCUUUCACAAUGGGCGAAAGCCUGAUGGAGCAACGCCGCGUGCAGGAUGAAGGCUUUCGGGUUGUAAACUGCUUUUAUAAGCGAGAAAUAUGAUGGUACCUUAUGAAUAAGGAUCGGCUAACUACGUGCCAGCAGCCGCGGUCAUACGUAGGAUCCGAGCAUUAUACGUAGUGACUGGGUGUAAAGAGUUGACUAGGUGGCAUAAUAAGUAGCUAGGGAAAUCUGGUGGCUCAACCAUUCAAACUAUUAGCUAAACUGUUAAGCUCGAGACCGUUAGAGGUAACUGGAAUGUCUAGUGUAGGGGUGAAAUGCGUAGAUAUUAGAAGGAACACCAAUAGCGAAGGCAGGUUGCUGGGACGGUUCUGACACUAAGGCACGAAAGCGUAGGGAGCAAACGGGAUUAGAUACCCCAGUAGUC